AUUUCAGGUAGGAACGGCUGUUCUUAUAAUGAUUAUCAUUUUCUUAUUCCUAACCUGUUGUGUGCUCCCUUGCAUACAAAAGUACUUACAAAAAGCAGUAGGAAAGACUAUAGAUGACGUGACUCCUACUUUCCUACAUCAAGAUACCACAGACCUCGAAAGUGACACCCCACACACACCCCUCCAAUCACAUCAGUUCAAACAGACAACUGCAUUCCUGUAGGGACAGUGUAGGG